UGGGGAAUUUUCCGCAAUGGGCGAAAGCCUGACGGAGCAAUCUCGCGUGAGGGAUGACUGCCUAUGGGUUGUAAACCUCUUUUUUCAGGGAGGAAUCAAUGACGUGUGCCUGAAGAAUAAGCAUCGGCUAACU
rnacentral:rRNA from 1 species